AAAUCGUGUUGUGGGCAUGAAUUGACAAGAUCCUUGAACCACUCCCAACACUGGAAGAAUGUUUCAUCCUCCUUUUGGUCAAAGUUCAAGAUUGAAUUUCCAAGGGU